UUCUCAAGAACCAGUCAGGGAUUCUAAUCGUGUGCCCUUCUCGGAGUUCGAUUUUGAUCUGGUCGAUGAAAAAAGUUGGGAAACCGUUGGGAAGAACGCAGCUGUUUUUGCUAUUCAAGGACGUAGGACAAAGAUGGAGGAUAGGUUCAUCGUGCGAGAGACCACGGAUGUAGGAGUGUCUAUCUUCGCGAUUUUUGACGGGCACAGUGGAGACUUGGAGAGUUUGCUGUGAAAUACGCUGAAGAUAAACUGGUGCCUAAUAUAAUAAAUAAAAUAAAGUCCGUGCAACCGAAGCAAAAAUUCAAGAGAACACUCUCAUGGCCAUCCCCAUUCUCUCUAUCUUUUCCAUCAUCUCCUAGGAAACGAGGAAUUCUUUCAGAAUAUGUGAAAGAAGAAGGAAUUGACUACAAAAAAAUUUUGGAGGAUGUUAUCAUAGCAACAGAUGCAGCACUUUUGGAUGAAGCCAGAAAAGUGACCGAUCCGAAGUUCAAGGCAGGCGGUAGUCUAAUUUAUAGUUUCAUUUUCGUAAUACCCUUGUUUCUAUCAAUCUACCUAAUGUUUCUUUAUCAGGAAUACAUUUUAUCGAGAAG
rnacentral:lncRNA from 1 species